CCUACGGGGGGCAGCAGUGGGGAAUAUUGGACAAUGGGGGCAACCCUGAUCCAGCCAUGCCGCGUGUGUGAAGAAGGCCCUCGGGUUGUAAAGCACUUUUAGUGAGGAAGAACGCCUGGUGGUUAAUACCCAUCAGGAAAGACAUCACUCACAGAAGAAGCACCGGCUAACUCCGUGCCAGCAGCCGCGGUAAUACGGAGGGUGCGAGCGUUAAUCGGAAUUACUGGGCGUAAAGCGCGCGUAGGUGGCUUGAUAAGCCGGUUGUGAAAGCCCCGGGCUCAACCUGGGAACGGCAUCCGGAACUGUCAAGCUAGAGUGCAGGAGAGGAAGGUAGAAUUCCCGGUGUAGCGGUGAAAUGCGUAGAGAUCGGGAGGAAUACCAGUGGCGAAGGCGGCCUUCUGGACUGACACUGACACUGAGGUGCGAAAGCGUGGGUAGCAAACAGGAUUAGAUACCCCUGUAGUC
rnacentral:rRNA from 1 species